UCGGGCCGUAGCGCAGCUUGGCUAGCGCGCUAGCUUGGGGUGCUAGAGGUCAGGGGUUCAAAUCCCCUCGGCCCGAU
rnacentral:tRNA from 1 species